CCAUUAAUUUGUGCUCUGGGAAUAAAGCUCUUUACUAUGAAAACAGGCAGUCUGAAAAACAAAAACAUGUCCAUAAAUCAUGAAAGCAGAACAUUUGUAGCUGUAUGACAGAACUGCUCACCACACAGUUUCUUUUUGUCCUGGACUAGACCCUAGUCUAGAUCACCAUGUGAAAUCUCUGAAGAAUAUUUUCUGUCCCAGGUCCCCCUGACCUACUUCAGGAGUCUGACAUCUCCUGUUCUCUUCAACCCCAACUUUCCACAAACCUGGGGAGGAUUUGAUCAUCAGUCAUAUUGCUGCUGAUUACAGAUUUUUGGAAUGCCUCUCUUGUGUGUUUCUUUACUCAAGAUUAUGCAUUUUCAAUGCUUUUAUUCCAACUGUGGAAUAGGAUUGGAUUUACUUUUCUUCAAAACAAAUGUGGUGUCAACCUAAAGGAGGAGGAAAACAGGUAAUGGAGGGGAUUUCUGCAAGACACCUUCCAGAAGCUUCAGUUGUUACCCUCAUGGAGGUGGACAGGAAAGCAAAAAAGGGACAGCCAGAGGGAAUAACUUUCCUUAGCCAAAAUGGAAAGAGAAAUCACCUACAGGAUUGUCCAUGAAGAGAUAACAGAUUUCCUGAGAUUUUAAAACUUUGGAAAAGCACGUCAGUCUCAAAUUCAGACCUGCAGGGACUGCGGCAUUCAUGAAAGGGGUGUCUGCACCAUGUGGUAAAAUACCAUUGCUGAGAUAAUUGCCCUCUUCCAUGGUGAACAAAAGAAGGUGAACUGGAAUCUCUUCACACUGGAAAAGAUAAAUUGCCAAGGGAAACUAAAGGUAAGAAGGCCCUAUUAUGAAAAACAAAACAGAAAAUGACACUUGUUGGUGAGAUUGUACAGGAAUGGGGACUCUUGUGCAUGGCUGGUGGGAAUGUAAAAUGCUGCAGCCUUUAUGGAAAACAGUAUGGCGGCUCCUCAAC
rnacentral:lncRNA from 12 species